GAUGAACGCUGGCGGCGUGCUUAACACAUGCAAGUCGAGCGAUGAAGUUUCCUUCGGGAAACGGAUUAGCGGCGGACGGGUGAGUAACACGUGGGUAACCUGCCUCAUAGAGUGGAAUAGCCUUCCGAAAGGAAGAUUAAUACCGCAUAACGUUGAAAGAUGGCAUCAUCAUUCAACCAAAGGAGCAAUCCGCUAUGAGAUGGACCCGCGGCGCAUUAGCUAGUUGGUGGGGUAACGGCCUACCAAGGCGACGAUGCGUAGCCGACCUGAGAGGGUGAUCGGCCACAUUGGGACUGAGACACGGCCCAGACUCCUACGGGAGGCAGCAGUGGGGAAUAUUGCACAAUGGGGGAAACCCUGAUGCAGCAACGCCGCGUGAGUGAUGAAGGUUUUCGGAUCGUAAAACUCUGUCUUUGGGGAAGAUAAUGACGGUACCCAAGGAGGAAGCCACGGCUAACUACGUGCCAGCAGCCGCGGUAAUACGUAGGUGGCGAGCGUUAUCCGGAUUUACUGGGCGUAAAGGGAGCGUAGGCGGAUGAUUAAGUGGGAUGUGAAAUACCCGGGCUCAACUUGGGUGCUGCAUUCCAAACUGGUUAUCUAGAGUGCAGGAGAGGAGAGUGGAAUUCCUAGUGUAGCGGUGAAAUGCGUAGAGAUUAGGAAGAACACCAGUGGCGAAGGCGACUCUCUGGACUGUAACUGACGCUGAGGCUCGAAAGCGUGGGGAGCAAACAGG
rnacentral:rRNA from 1 species